rnacentral:rRNA from 1 species
CCUACGGGAGGCAGCAGUGAGGAAUAUUGGUCAAUGGACGCAAGUCUGAACCAGCCAUGCCGCGUGAAGGAAGACGGCUCUAUGAGUUGUAAACUGCUUUUGUAAGAGGGUAAACGGAGGUACGUGUAUCUGUCUGAAUGUAUUGUACGAAUAAGGAUCGGCUAACUCCGUGCCAGCAGCCGCGGUAAUACGGAGGAUCCGAGCGUUAUCCGGAUUUAUUGGGUUUAAAGGGUGCGUAGGCGGUUUGAUAAGUUAGAGGUGAAAGCUCGGGGCUCAACUGCGGAAUUGCCUUUGAUACUGGUCGGCUAGAGUGUAGUUGCGGUAGGCGGAAUGCAUGGUGUAGCGGUGAAAUGCUUAGAUAUCAGACAGAACACCGAUUGCGAAGGCAGCUUACUAAGCUGCAACUGACGUUGAUGCACGAAAGCGUGGGGAGCAAACAGGAUUAGAUACCCCAGUAGUC